GGGAGCCCGGACUCCUGGGUUCUCUCCCCAGCUCUGGGAGGGCAGUGGGGGCUGGUGGGUUAGAGCAGGGGGGGCUGGGAGCCAGGACUCCUGGGUUCUCUCCCCGGCUCUGGGAGGGCAGUGGGGGCUGGUGGCCAGGACUCCUGGGUUCUCUCCCCGGCUCUGGGAGGGCAGUGGGGGCUGGUGGCCCGGACUCCUGGGUUCUCUCCCCGGCUCUGGGAGGGCAGUGGGGGCU